GACAGAGGGUGCAAACGUUGUUCGGAAUUACUGGGCGUAAAGAGUGUGUAGGCGGUGUUCUAAGUUUGGUGUGAAAUCUCCCGGCUCAACUGGGAGGGUGCGCCGAAAACUGGAAUGCUAGAGUAUGGGAGAGGUAAGCGGAAUUCCUGGUGUAGCGGUGAAAUGCGUAGAUAUCAGGAGGAACACCUGUGGUGUAGACAGCUUACUGGACCAUCACUGACGCUGAGACACGAAAGCGUGGGUAGCAAACAGG
rnacentral:rRNA from 1 species